UACACAAAGCAUAUGAUGAAGAAGCAUUGAAACUGACUCUCUGUGAAGUCUAUUCAAUCCAACCCUGAGCUUUGUGCU